rnacentral:rRNA from 1 species
AUUGAACGCUGGCGGCAGGCCUAACACAUGCAAGUCGAGCGAGCGGCGCACGGGUGAGUAAUGUAUGGGGACUGCCCGAUAGAGGGGGGUAACUACUGGAAACGGUAGAUAAUACCGCAUACUAUCGGAUAACCCAUAUGGGAUUAGCUCGUAGGGGGGGUAAUGGCUCACCUGGGCGACGAUCCCUAGCGGGUCUGAGAGGAUGAUCAGCCACACUGGGACUGAGACACGGCCCAGACUCCUACGGAGGCAGCAGUGGGGAAUAUUGCACAAUGGGCGCAAGCCUGAUGCAGCCAUGCCGCGUGUAUGAAGAAGGCCGUAGGGUUGUAAAGUACUUUCAGUCGGGAGGCGUUACCGACAGAAGAAGCACCGGCUAACUCCGUGCCAGCAGCCGCGGUAAUAC